UAAAUAAUCACUAGCAACAGAAAGCCUAAAUCAGUGAAAUUAUUCUUGCUCUAAAAUGGAUUACUAUGCAGCUGUGAAAAAUAAUGUAAAAAUUCUUCUAACAGGAAGAAUUCUAAAAUAUUAUUAGGUUAUAAAAGCAAAGUCUAAAAUAACACUUGUUUCCAAUUGUGCUGAAGGUCCUUUUUGUUUGUUUUUGGUUUUGGGGUUUUUUGGUUUUUUUUUUUUUUUUGUCUUUUUGCCUUUUCUAGAGCCAUUUCCAAGGCAUCGCAUAAGAAAGACAAGUUAUCCCAGCAAAAGUAGAUUCAGCAGCAAGUAAAGGAAGGCCUGAUCAGUACAUAUAAUUAAUCAGACUCAAAGGGUGUCCACAGCUAAUCAGCCUCUCUGGUCACACACAAUAAUCAAGAAGAAGGAGGCUUCAGCAGAGUGUUCUAAAAUGAUAAACUAACCAAAUGUACAGAAGGGUAGCGCUGCCUGUGCAGACAUAAUCCCUCAUCUCCUAGGAGUUGACAGUUCUUGAUGGUCCAACUAAUUAAAAUAAAAUACUAAUGAGAAACAUAUAAGAUUUUAAUAGUACUGACAAACCACACUCAGACAGUGGAAAGGAUUAAAACAGAAAAAAUUCCUUACCUCUUUGAAAGCUACCAAAUCUCAAAAAACUAAAACUUUCAUAAACAAAAUUUAAAAAUUUUAAAGUUUUACACUGUAAUGAUUAGAAUUUGGUAUAAAAGGGAAUUUACUACUGAUUAGCAGCCUAGAAGUUGCCUUAGACUGAUGAACCAGGGCCAUGACCCAAAAGACUUAAACUUUUCAUAACUCAUAGCAAACCUGACUAGGUUGAAAUGAUUUCAUUUUCUUAAAUAUUAUCAAAACCUGGGAGUACCUCUGAUUCGACCCCUAGCCCAGGAAUAUGAAUUUGACAAAUGAAUUUGAGUGUGUGAAUUUGACAAAACUAAUUGAACUUCACACCUACAAUCUCUGAAUUUGAUUGCAUAUUAAUUAUAUCUCAGUAAAAAAUUGCUUAAGGAGUUUCAGUCGUGGCUCAGUGAUUAACAAAUCUGACUAGGAACCAUGAGGUUGCAGGUUUGAUCCCUGGCCUUGCUCAGUGGGUUAAGGAUCCAGCGUUGACGUGAGCUGUGGUGCAGGUUGCAGAUGCGGCUUGGAUCCUGCGGUUGCUGUGGCUGUGGUGUAGGCCGGCAGCUACAGCUCUGAUUAGACCCCUAGCCUGGGAACCUCCAUAUACCAUGGGUGUGGCCCUAGAAAAGACCAAAAAAAGGAAAAAAAAGAAAAAGAAAAAAAAAA
rnacentral:lncRNA from 1 species